GCAUAUCAAUAAGCGGAGGAAAAGAAACCAACAGGGAUUGCCCUAGUAACGGCGAGUGAAGCGGCAUCAGCUCAAAUUUGAAAUCUGGCUCUUUUAGAGUCCGAGUUGUAAUUUGCAGAGGGCGCUUUGGUGUCGGCAGCGGUCCAAGUUCCUUGGAACAGGACGUCACAGAGGGUGAGAAUCCCGUACGUGGUCGCUGACCUACACCGUGUAAAGCCCCUUCGACGAGUCGAGUUGUUUGGGAAUGCAGCUCUAAAUGGGAGGUAAAUUUCUUCUAAAGCUAAAUACUGGCCAGAGACCGAUAGCGCACAAGUAGAGUGAUCGAAAGAUGAAAAGCACUUUGGAAAGAGAGUCAAACAGCACGUGAAAUUGUUGAAAGGGAAGCGCUUGCAGCCAGACUUGCUUGUAGUUGCUCAUCCGGGCUUUUGCCCGGUGCACUCUUCUGCGAGCAGGCCAGCAUCAGUUUGGACGGUUGGAUAAAGGCCUCUGUCACGUACCUUCUCUCGGGAAGGCCUUAUAGGGGAGGCGUCAUGCAACCAGUCUGGACUGAGGUCCGCGCAUCUGCUAGGAUGCUGGCGUAAUGGCUGUAAGCGGCCCGUCUUGAAACACGGACCAAGGAGUCUAACAUCUAUGCGAGUGUUUGGGUGUCAAGCCCGAGCGCGUAAUGAAAGUGAACGGAGGUGGGAUCCCGCAAGGGUGCACCAUCGACCGAUCCUGAUGUCUUCGGAUGGAUUUGAGUAAGAGCAUGGCUGUUGGGACCCGAAAGAUGGUGAACUAUGCUUGAAUAGGGUGAAGCCAGAGGAAACUCUGGUGGAGGCUCGCAGCGGUUCUGACGUGCAAAUCGAUCGUCAAAUUUGGGCAUAGGGGCGAAAGACUAAUCGAACUAUCUAGUAGCUGGUCUGCGA
rnacentral:rRNA from 1 species